UUUUACUGGAAGGAGAGUGCGCUGGGAGGAGGGAAGAGGGGGAGGGAGUUUCUGGUUUUGCAUGAAGCAGCAGAACAUGAUGAAGCAUUUUUCCCCCAUCUAAAGAUCCAGUCGUGCUCCAGUUUGCAGAGGGCAAGGGGCUGGUUGCAGGUGGUGCUGGGAGGAUGGAGUAGAGAUGGGGUUUCACCGUGUUAACCAGGAAUGUCUCGAUCUCCUGACCUCGUGAUCCACCCGCCUCAGCCUCCCAAAGUGUUGGGAUUACAGGCGUGAGCUACCACGCCCGGCCCUAGGCUCCACAACUCUAAGAAGCUUUGAAUGUCCCUGGCACAAGUUUCCAAGGAUAGACCCUCUGUGUGAAGGGGAGCAGCUGCCUUUGAGCAAUCAGCAGUAACUGCUUGGGGAGGCUUAGUCCCCUAAUAGUUCAGAAGUCACCUCCAAGGUCAGACGGACCCACAGCUGAACGCCAACACUUCCACUUCUCGGAAAGCCCAACGUGUAAACUGAUGACAGACUAUCCUGGAGGAAGAGGUGGGGCAGCCUGGAGUUUUCCUCUGGACAUCCUGAGAGGGAUACUGAAGCACUCAGGAGGGGUCUUAGACCUGCCCAAGCUCACUCACACAGUUUGAGAAGAGCUGCGCUUAGACCACAGGCCUCUUGGCUCCUGGGAAGCUGAGAGCAUCGGCGUGGGAGUUCGUCAGACAGGGUUUGCUUUUGCAAAUAGCAGUAGCUCCUGAAAUGUGGAAAUUCUUUACCUGGCUGAUUCAUGACAAACUUGGUGGGAGAAGUAGCUG
rnacentral:lncRNA from 10 species